rnacentral:rRNA from 1 species
GCUUGGCUUCUUUGCUGACGAGUGGCGGACGGGUGAGUAAUGUCUGGGAAACUGCCUGAUGGAGGGGGAUAACUACUGGAAACGGUAGCUAAUACCGCAUAACGUCGCAAGACCAAAGAGGGGGACCUUCGGGCCUCUUGCCAUCGGAUGUGCCCAGAUGGGAUUAGCUAGUAGGUGGGGUAACGGCUCACCUAGGCGACGAUCCCUAGCUGGUCUGAGAGGAUGACCAGCCACACUGGAACUGAGACACGGUCCAGACUCCUACGGGAGGCAGCAGUGGGGAAUAUUGCACAAUGGGCGCAAGCCUGAUGCAGCCAUGCCGCGUGUAUGAAGAAGGCCUUCGGGUUGUAAAGUACUUUCAGCGGGGAGGAAGGGAGUAAAGUUAAUACCUUUGCUCAUUGACGUUACCCGCAGAAGAAGCACCGGCUAACUCCGUGCCAGCAGCCGCGGUAAUACGGAGGGUGCAAGCGU